UCCUACGGGUGGCAGCAGUGGGGAAUAUUGCACAAUGGGGGAAACCCUGAUGCAGCAACGCCGCGUGAGUGAUGACGGUCUUCGGAUUGUAAAGCUCUGUCUUCAGGGACGAUAAUGACGGUACCUGAGGAGGAAGCCACGGCUAACUACGUGCCAGCAGCCGCGGUAAUACGUAGGUGGCAAGCGUUGUCCGGAUUUACUGGGCGUAAAGGGAGCGUAGGUGGAUAUUUAAGUGGGAUGUGAAAUACUCGGGCUUAACCUGGGUGCUGCAUUCCAAACUGGAUAUCUAGAGUGCAGGAGAGGAAAGUAGAAUUCCUAGUGUAGCGGUGAAAUGCGUAGAGAUUAGGAAGAAUACCAGUGGCGAAGGCGACUUUCUGGACUGUAACUGACACUGAGGCUCGAAAGCGUGGGGAGCAAACAGGAUUAGAUACCCCAGUAGUC
rnacentral:rRNA from 1 species